rnacentral:rRNA from 1 species
UACGUAGGGGGCUAGCGUUGUCCGGAAUCAUUGGGCGUAAAGAGCGUGUAGGCGGCUCGGUAAGUCCGCUGUGAAAGUCUAGGGCUCAACCCUGGAAUGCCAGUGGAAACUGUCGAGCUAGAGUCCGGAAGAGGCGAGUGGAAUUCCUGGUGUAGCGGUGAAAUGCGCAGAUAUCAGGAGGAACACCAAUGGCGAAGGCAGCUCGCUGGGACGGUACUGACGCUGAGGUGCGAAAGCGUGGGGAGCAAACAGG